AUUGAACGCUGGCGGCAUGCCUUACACAUGCAAGUCGAACGGCAGCACGGGUGCUUGCACCUGGUGGCGAGUGGCGAACGGGUGAGCAAUACAUCGGAACGUACCUUAUCGUGGGGGAUAACGCAGCGAAAGCUGUGCUAAUACCGCAUACGCCCUGAGGGGGAAAGCGGGGGAUCGCAAGACCUCGCGCGAUUAGAGCGGCCGAUGCCUGAUUAGCUUGUUGGUGGGGUAAAAGCCCACCAAGGCGACGAUCAGUAGCUGGUCUGAGAGGACGAUCAGCCACACGGGGACUGAGACACGGCCCAGACUCCUACGGGAGGCAGCAGUGGGGAAUUUUGGACAAUGGGGGCAACCCUGAUCCAGCAAUGCCGCGUGAGUGAAGAAGGCCUUCGGGUUGUAAAGCUCUUUUGUCAGGGAAGAAACACCGGCUCUAACACAGUCCGGGAAUGACGGUACCUGAAGAAUAAGCACCGGCUAACUACGUGCCAGCCGCCGCAGUAA
rnacentral:rRNA from 1 species